CACAACUUCACCGUUGCUAAGCAUAAUUGACCGCUUUCAAGGAAACAAAGGACUUUUUGCCUCUAAUGACGUCUUUGGUAGCACUCCGCAAGUAUCUUAUCUUUAGCCUCCUAUCUUAUCUUAACUUAGGUGAUCCUAACUGUUCUUUCAAUCCGAUUUUUCGAUCGGCAAUCAUCAGGUUAUGUCUGGUUCUGCACAUAAUGUGAAUGAGAUUGAUAUAAGGCUUUAAUAACGGUUAAUAAUAACGGCAAGCUUGUAGCAGUACUACGCUCAUGGCGGGGAUUGCUACGAAAAACAAGAAGAAACACCCAAGGCAUUUCAACCGGCACAGAGGUGGGCCUGCCUGAGGAGGUCCUUGAGAACGACAGUGCCGAGGUGUCUGAAUCAACUGAGGUCAUACUGACGUUGAUGGAUUCAGAGUGUGACAGCAGGACUCUGCCAACAGCAAGAAUUAUCCCAUCCCCUGGUAAAAAGAAGAAACACAUAAGCCUACAAGAGGAGUUUCUGGAGUUGGAGAAGGAGAAGCUGUUGGUGAUGCGAGAGAAAUUAAAUGUUGAGAAGGAGAGACUGAAAUUGGAUAAAGAAAAAUUUGAAGUAUUUUAUUUACCACGGGAACAAUAUUGUGAACUUAUUUGAACAAUGGAAUUAAAUCAUUUGCACACUUAUUUAAAUUUGAUUGAGUUAAACUGUUAAUUUAUUUUUUAUAUUGUUGAAUUAAAC
ensembl:lncRNA